rnacentral:rRNA from 1 species
GAUGAACGCUGGCGGCGUGCCUAAUACAUGCAAGUCGAGCGAGGUUCUUCGGAACCUAGCGGCGGACGGGUGAGUAACACGUGGGUAACCUGCCUGUAAGACUGGGAUAACUUCGGGAAACCGAAGCUAAUACCGGAUAAUUUUGAGCAUCGCAUGGUGCUUGAUGGAAAGGCGGCUUCGGCUGUCACUUACAGAUGGACCCGCGUCGCAUUAGCUGGUUGGUGAGGUAACGGCUCACCAAGGCGACGAUGCGUAGCCGACCUGAGAGGGUGAUCGGCCACACUGGGACUGAGACACGGCCCAGACUCCUACGGGAGGCAGCAGUAGGGAAUCUUCGGCAAUGGGCGAAAGCCUGACGCAGCGACGCCGCGUGGAGGAUGAAGGUCUUCGGAUUGUAAACUCCUGUUAAGUGGGAAGAAAUAGCCAUCCUUAAUACGGGUGGCGAAUGACGGUACCAUUAGAGAAAGCACCGGCUAAUCUCGUGCCAGCAGCCGCCGUAA